rnacentral:rRNA from 1 species
GAGGGGGGGGGGCCUAACACAUGCAAGUCGAGCGCGCCCUUCGGGGUGAGCGGCGGACGGGUGAGUAACGCGUGGGAAUAUGCCCUUCUCUGCGGAAUAGCCUCGGGAAACUGAGAGUAAUACCGCAUACGCCCUUCGGGGGAAAGAUUUAUCGGAGAAGGAUUAGCCCGCGUUGGAUUAGAUAGUUGGUGGGGUAAUGGCCUACCAAGUCGACGAUCCAUAGCUGGUUUUAGAGGAUGAUCAGCCACACUGGGACUGAGACACGGCCCAGACUCCUACGGGAGGCAGCAGUGGGGAAUCUUAGACAAUGGGCGCAAGCCUGAUCUAGCCAUGCCGCGUGAGUGAUGAAGGCCUUAGGGUCGUAAAGCUCUUUCGCCAGGGAUGAUAAUGACAGUACCUGGUAAAGAAACCCCGGCUAACUCCGUGCCAGCAGCCGCGGUAAU